rnacentral:rRNA from 1 species
AUUGAACGCUGGCGGCAGGCCUAACACAUGCAAGUCGAGCGGAUGAGGAGAGCUUGCUCUCUGAUUCAGCGGCGGACGGGUGAGUAAUGCCUAGGAAUCUGCCUGAUAGUGGGGGACAACGUUUCGAAAGGAACGCUAAUACCGCAUACGUCCUACGGGAGAAAGUGGGGGAUCUUCGGACCCCACGCUAUCAGAUGAGCCUAGGUCGGAUUAGCUAGUUGGUGGGGUAACGGCUCACCAAGGCGACGAUCCGUAACUGGUCUGAGAGGAUGAUCAGUCACACUGGAACUGAGACACGGUCCAGACUCCUACGGGAGGCAGCAGUGGGGAAUAUUGGACAAUGGGCGAAAGCCUGAUCCAGCCAUGCCGCGUGUGUGAAGAAGGCCCUCGGGUCGUAAAGCACUUUAAGCUGGGAGGAAGGGUUGUAACCUAAUACGUUGCAGCUUUGACGUUACCAGCAGAAUAAGCACCGGCUAACUCUGUGCCAGCAGCCGCGGUAAUACAGAGGGUGCAAGCGUUAAUCGGAAUUACUGGGCGUAAAGCGCGCGUAGGUGGCUUGGUAAGUUGAAUGUGAAAUCCCCGGGCUCAACCUGGGAACUGCAUCCAAAACUGCCUGGCUAGAGUACGGUAGAGGGUGGUGGAAUUUCCUGUGUAGCGGUGAAAUGCGUAGAUAUAGGAAGGAACACCAGUGGCGAAGGCGACUUUCUGGUCUGUAACUGACGCUGAUGUGCGAAAGCGUGGGGAUCGAACAGGAUUAGAUACCCUGGUAGUCCACGCCGUAAACGAUGAGUGCUAAGUGUUAGGGGGUUUCCGCCCCUUAGUGCUGCAGCUAACGCAUUAAGCACUCCGCCUGGGGAGUACGACCGCAAGGUUGAAACUCAAAGGAAUUGACGGGGACCCGCACAAGCGGUGGAGCAUGUGGUUUAAUUCGAAGCAACGCGAAGAACCUUACCAAAUCUUGACAUCCUUUGACAACUCUAGAGAUAGAGCCUUCCCCUUCGGGGGACAAAGUGACAGGUGGUGCAUGGUUGUCGUCAGCUCGUGUCGUGAGAUGUUGGGUUAAGUCCUGCAACGAGCGCAACCCUUAAGCUUAGUUGCCAUCAUUAAGUUGGGCACUCUAAGUUGACUGCCGGUGACAAACCGGAGGAAGGUGGGGAUGACGUCAAAUCAUCAUGCCCCUUAUGACUUGGGCUACACACGUGCUACAAUGGACAAUACAAAGGGCAGCGAAACCGCGAGGUCAAGCAAAUCCCAUAAAGUUGUUCUCAGUUCGGAUUGUAGUCUGCAACUCGACUACAUGAAGCUGGAAUCGCUAGUAAUCGUAGAUCAGCAUGCUACGGUGAAUACGUUCCCGGGUCU